GUGACUUCCAGAGCAGGGCUUCCCAGACUCUUAAAGUCUAAACCUCUUAAAUUUAACCCUUUGAGAAUCUGACACCUCUCUCCAGGAAACUACAAAGUUGCUGACACCUCUCUCCGAGAAAUCAAAGUCACCCAUCCAUUGACCCCACAAAGAAAUCUACUCUAGAGGAAGAAAAAUGGCACAGAUAGAUACUGUAUCAUUAGCUCACUUUUAUUUAAAAAAAAAAAAUCUUUUUUUUUGUUUUUCAUCUUGUUUUCAUAUAUGUGUAAGCUUCUUAGAGGAGUGAGAGAUACAAGUGUGAAGCAAACUGAAAAACAUUUUGAAAGUUAGUAGGCACAUUCUCUAAUGUGAAGCAUUCCAGAAAUGUGAUUGUAGGGCACUUUGAAUAAAACAGGAUGCUGGGUGAGCAAGAGAGAUCUGGAGAAUGGAACGAGAGUCUGGCUAUAGGCAGCCCAGGUGUUUCCCUGCUGUUUUUUUCCCUCGUCUGCAGGUCCAAGCAGGCAGAUCUGCUUGGAAGGUGCAGAAGAAACCAAAAUCUUUAUUUGGCUGCGACCCUGAUUGUUUACAGAGGGUAGUGGUUAGCCAGGUGUCAGCUGCUUUUUUAAGUGAACCACGGUAUCUCCUCAGCUGAAGGGGCCUAUUUUAAUGCAGGCUUGGGAAGAGUCAAACCUCCACAGGCUAGGAGUGAGCCCUAAUGAUGCUGCCACCAAGCCGCAGAUCCACCCAUGGAUGCCCACAUCUUUUUUUUUUUUGAGAGAAAAUCUCACUCGGUCGCCUAGGCAGGAUUGUAGUGGCGCAAUCUCAGCUCACUGCAAUGCACAACCUCUAUCUCCUGGGUUCAUACGGCUUCCCAAGUAGCUGGGAUUACAGGCGCCUGCCACCACGCCCGGUUAAUUUUUGUAUUUUUUUUAGUAGAGACGUGGUUUCAGCAUUUUGGCCAGGCUGGUCUUGAACUCCUGACCUCAAGUGAUCCACCCAACUAGGCCUCCCAAAGUGCUGGGGUUACAGGCGUGAGCCACCACGCCUGGCCUGGCUGCCCACAUCUUGGAGUGGGUCCCUUCCCUCCCUACUAGCUUUUGGGGACUUUGCUUCUUCCAGCAUUGUGCUCCUCUCUUUUCUCUUCUCUAGCUUCCUUUGCCCAGUCCUGCUCUUACCCCAUCUUCUUUCACAUAUUUGGAUCUCUCCCGCUAAGGGCUCAGCCUUUAGGAACACACUUGACAUUUGAGUUGUCUGUCUACUAGUGAAAGCUUGAAACAAGGAAAUGACCUCCUUUGUACUUCAGUUUGUCUUUAAGUGGCAAAUCACUGCUGUGGGGAACAAAUGUUGGAUUUGGUCCCCGAUAAAUAUCAGUUGUGUGGAAACACGUUUUAGAUAGUUAAGAACUUUUCUGUAAUGCUAUUAACACCUUUAUUUCUUUAGAUAUUCAGAGCUGUAAGUAAUGUAAUUUAUCAGAUAAUAUUAGCUGUUUAUGAGUUUGAAAAAUUUUUAAUUGUUUAUAUACUACAUCAUCACAUAUUUAGUUUAUGAUCUUUUUCAUUUGUUUUAGAUGUAAGGCUACGAAAACUCGCUGGAGAGAAGGAAGAACUACUGUCACAGAUUAGAAAACUGAAGCUUCAGUUAGAGGAGGAACGACAGAAAUGCUCCAGGAAUGAUGGCACAGUGGGUGACCUGGCAGGACUGCAGAAUGGCUCAGACUUGCAGUUCAUCGAAAUGCAGAGAGAUGCCAAUAGACAAAUUAGCGAAUACAAAUUUAAGCUUUCAAAAGCAGAACAGGAUAUAACUACCUUGGAGCAAAGUAUUAGCCGGCUUGAGGGACAGGUUCUGAGAUAUAAAACUGCUGCUGAGAAUGCUGAGAAAGUUGAAGAUGAAUUGAAAGCAGAAAAACGGAAGCUACAACGAGAGUUACGAACAGCACUGGACAAGAUUGAGGAGAUGGAGAUGACCAACAGCCACCUGGCCAAGCGGCUGGAGAAGAUGAAGGCCAAUAGGACAGCACUUCUGGCCCAGCAGUAGGAAAACCACCCUUCAACCUGGGUGAUGCUCCUUGGGGCCCUACCUACAGGGACUGACUUUUGUCCAUUGACACAAACCCCUUUUAGUACUGUUUUGAGUUUUGUCAUUAAAACAGCCACCUUUGUAUUUUAUAAUUUAUGAGAGAAUGAAGUCAUUUUGAAUCUACAUGAAUGAACACUUUGGAUUUUGUUGUAGUUUGAUUCUAGGCUAGAACCAGUCCAUGCUGUUUUUAUUUUUUAUCUCUGUAAUUGUAGAAUCAUGUUUACUCAACAUUUUUCCCCAGCUGCCUCAGUAACUGGGCACUCGGAGGCCUUGGCACGGGUUCUGGAGGACAGACAGCAAUUCUAUGAGUGCUCACUGAGAUACUUGCUGGAGACCUCAGAAAACACAAGUGCCUUCUCCACGGUGCAAUUCAGACUUCAGUGAUCUCCAGUGGUCAAAAGACAUUUACCCUUAAUAUCAGACAACAUUUAUAUUUUAGUGAAGAAACAAGUUCUCGGGUGGGGAAUCUAUGUUUCACUCAAAUUUAUAUGUUUGGAGGAAAAAAGCCUUUUUUUGUAAAAUAUUUAAAUUUAUAUAAGAAAAUGUUAGAAAAAAAUAUGGGGAGUGUAUAUAAAACUUGCUUUAUUGCAUGGGGCAGGGGAAGUCCAGGCCUAAUACUCUUAAAGUAAGAGUUGGGUCCUUUUUUUCUUCAAUACAACUGUGCUGUACCUUGUAAAGUAUUUUAUCUGCUGCUUAUUUGUGGAAUGAAACCUCAAACCAACCCAAAGGGGGAGGGGAGGGCAGGGCAGGCAGAUCGGAAAUCUGCCUGCAGAUUCUAUUAAAUACACCCUUUUGCCAACCACAA
rnacentral:sRNA from 1 species